GGUUCGAUGGCGUAGCUGGUUAUCGCAUCUGUCUAACACACAGAAGGUCCUCGGUUCGAUCCCGAGUCGAAUCA